rnacentral:tRNA from 1 species
GGGCAUGUAGCUCAGAGGAUUAGAGCGUAUGGCUACGCGUGCCGGAGGUUCAAAUCCCUCCUUGCCCA